rnacentral:lncRNA from 1 species
AUGACCACCCUGCCCCUACACAAUGCAGAGAACACAGCCUGCACAAAUGAGAGACCCAGGCUCCUGGGUCGUAAUUCCUCUGAGGUUCAGCAUCCCUGUCUGCAGCGAAGCAGGGGCGUCAGGAGAAGACUGUGGCAGCCAAGGGGCAAUAGACACACAGGAUUGAUGCCAAGAUUGUAGAAGAGAGAAGCUUCUGUAGAGUCAGAGAUGAUAAAUACUGCAACGACACUUAAAAGCUCAUUAUCCUUGGAAACCUUUAAAGAGAAUACAUUCUAAUCCAUGAAAAGCAAUUUCAUUAUCAUUUUGCUUGAGAAGAAUGAAUGGAUUAGACGACCACUCAAAUUUCAUUUAAGUGUAGUAGGAGAACCAUGGUUUUCUGAUCCUCACUCUAAGUUCAUCAAUUCUUAGAAACAGAAGUGCUCUUGAGACACGAUUUAAUCCUUCAACAGUCUACUUAAUUGUAUCCCCUUUUGUAGAUAGGUAGUGACCACCCAGUUACUAACAUAGUUCCAAGACAAUCAGUAGCAUGAUUAUAGGUGGCACGCACCUUUUACACCUUCAGACAGGAACACAAAAUCCAGCCUCAGCCUGAGAAACGGUGUGAAAGCAGCAUCAAUACAGCGAAAUCUCUGCUCUGUGCAGUGUGGGAGCCGCUAGACUAAAGACAGCCCCAGGGGACCUUCCUGCUGAGCAGAAUGAAUUGUGCUCCCACAACGUUGUCAACACUUGGGUUAAACAUAAAAAUAAAUAAAUUAAAUGUAAAUAAAGAACUCUAAAG